UCAGAGCUAAGCGCCUCAUUAUCAUUGCCUCCCCUCCACCGUGGAUAACUGCGAUGUAGUACAACAUGGACGGAGUUAAGUUACGAAAAAUAAACAUGUCAUUAUCGGUUCAAUGUACCAAAAUAAUCAGGAGGUUAAGCAAAGCAGCGACAAGCUCUGACCUUACUACUGAUUAGAUUCAGUUGCGAGGCGUGAAUAAUCGAUUUUCAAUAUUUCCACAUUUAAAGCUAUGGCAAAGAAUCGAUGAUUAAGGUGUUCGUUGCGAACACCCUGUUUAUCGAUCCUUUUUCAUUAGUUUAAAUGCGGCAGAUCAAUCGAUAUAUAGCAAAGCACACCACGCCACUGAUUACAUUACGAGAACGGUGUAACCAGUGGUGUGGUGUGCUCUGCCAUUUAAACCUAUAGAAAAGGAUCGAUAACGAUAAGCAGGGUGUUCGAUUUGCGAGUUUCAUCGUCGAUUCUUUCUAAUAGCUUCAUAUGGGGAAAUAUCGAAAAUCGAUCAUUCGCGCCUCGUCAAUGGUUGUGGCUGUCAACUCUUGUCCAGAACACAGUUUAAAUAGGUGCUUGCUUUCUUCUUGAAUAUUGAAGCGAGGCGUUUCCCUAAACAAGAAAUUUUUCACUUAUUGCGUUUGUUAAAAGUGUACUUCGCGUAAAAAUAAAUCUAAAAAAUUGUGUUUUUCUGCGUUCUCUUUAACGGAUCUGCUCAAUCAGAUCUUUCAGUACUCGUUUUGCGUUGGGGUUGUUUUCCUCAUCCAGUUUAGGGACUUUCCUAUAAUUUUAAGCAUCACAGCUUGUUUAGUUACUUCAGAAGUGAACGUAUCAGUUGGGCCCUCACUCUAACGAUAGUCUCGCUGGUUUCCGCAAUAUUAGGAGCCUUCGUGAUGUUAGUUUUGCUCCACUGUAGAAGAAAUGUUAAUGACUGCGAUAGCUCACACAACGGAACUGUGAUAAACGUCUCUCGCGGGGUCCGGAAGCGGGAGAUGGUGAACCUGACGUCGACGGCCGUCGGCGGGGAGCUGCGGCGGGUGGGGGUGGGGGUGGGCCCCCUGGAGCUGAACAAGGACAACGCGCGGCAGUCCUCGUCGUCGUCGUCCUCGGCGUCGUCUGCGGGCGUCGCGGCGCGGUCGCCGCCGGCCAAGAAGCGCGGGCGCUCCCGGCGGAGGACCCUCAUAUCGUGGCUCACCCAGGGGAGGCGCAAGGAGGUCCCCGCCCAGCUCGGCACCCCCAUGUGCUCCAUCCCCGCCGCCACCAACCACUACACCUGCACCAACCUCGACGAGCCCUACAACCCGUUAGCGAGGUGAGGAAACGUGGAUGGUAUAUUUGGAUUGCAUUUUGCAAAAAGGAUUGGAGGAAGGAGCAAUGGAGAUGUUGCAUGUGUGAGGGAUUU
rnacentral:lncRNA from 1 species